rnacentral:rRNA from 1 species
CACGUAGGGCGCGAGCGUUGUCCGGAAUUAUUGGGCGUAAAGAGCUCGUAGGCGGCCUGUUGCGUCCGCUGUGAAAGCCCGGGGCUUAACCCCGGGUCGGCAGUGGAUACGGGCAGGCUAGAGGUAGGUAGGGGAGAAUGGAAUUCCCGGUGUAGCGGUGAAAUGCGCAGAUAUCGGGAGGAACACCGAUGGCGAAGGCAGGUCACUGGGCCGCAACUGACGCUGAGGAGCGAAAGCAUGGGGAGCGAACAGG